GGAGAGGUGGCUCAGCAGUUAAGAGCUCUGGUUGAGUUCCAGAGGACCUGGUUCAAUUCCAGGUGUCCA
rnacentral:tRNA from 1 species